UUGAUCCUGGCUCAGAACGAACGCUGGCGGCAGGCCUAACACAUGCAAGUCGAACGACACAGUGGCAGACGGGUGAGUAACGCGUGGGAACGUGCCCUUCAGUACGGAAUAGCUUCUGGAAACGGAAGGUAAUACCGUAUACGCCCUCCGGGGGAAAGAUUAUCGCUGAAGGAUCGGCCCGCGUUAGAUUAGCUUGUUGGUGAGGUAAUGGCUCACCAAGGCGACGAUCUAUAGCUGGUCUGAGAGGAUGAUCAGCCACACUGGGACUGAGACACGGCCCAGACUCCUACGGGAGGCAGCAGUGGGGAAUCUUGCACAAUGGGCGAAAGCCUGAUGCAGCCAUGCCGCGUGAAUGAUGAAGGCCUUAGGGUUGUAAAAUUCUUUCAUCAGGGACGAUAAUGACGGUACCUGAAGAAGAAGCCCCGGCUAACUUCGUGCCAGCAGCCGCGGUAAUACGAAGGGGGCUAGCGUUGUUCGGAAUUACUGGGCGUAAAGCGCGCGUAGGCGGACUAUUAAGUCAGAUGUGAAAUCCCGGGGCUCAACCUCGGAACUGCAUUUGAAACUGGUAGUCUAGAGGCCAAGAGAGGUUAGUGGAAUGCCGAGUGUAGAGGUGAAAUUCGUAGAUAUUCGGUGGAACACCAGUGGCGAAGGCGACUGACUGGACUGGUACUGACGCUGAGGUGCGAAAGUGUGGGGAGCAAACAGGAUUAGAUACCCUGGUAGUCCACACCGUAAACGAUGAGUGCUAGUUGUCGGCAGGCAUGCCUGUCGGUGACGCAGCUAACGCAUUAAGCACUCCGNCUGGGGAGUACGGCCGCAAGGUUAAAACUCAAAGAAAUUGACGGGGGCCCGCACAAGCGGUGGAGCAUGUGGUUU
rnacentral:rRNA from 1 species